GAUGAAGAACGUAGUGAAAUGCGAUAAGUAAUGUGAAUUGCAGAAUUCAGUGAAUCAUCGAAUCUUUGAACGCACAUUGCGCCCGCUAGUAUUCUGGCGGGCAUGCCUGUCCGAGCGUCAUUUCAACCCUCAAGCCCCCGGGCUUGGUGUUGGGGAUCGGCGAGCCUCCGCGCCCGCCGUCCCCUAAAUCUAGUGGCGGUCUCGCUGUAGCUUCCUCUGCGUAGUAGCACACCUCGCACUGGGAAACAGCGCGGCCACGCCGUUAAACCCCCAACUUCUGAACGUUUGACCUCGGAUCAGGUAGGAAUACCCGAUGAACUUAAGCAUAUCAAUAAGCGGAGGA
rnacentral:misc_RNA from 1 species